rnacentral:rRNA from 1 species
CCUACGGGGGACAGCAGUAGGGAAUAUUGCUCAAUGGGGGAAACCCUGAAGCAGCAACGCCGCGUGGAGGAUGAAGGUUUUAGGAUUGUAAACUCCUUUUGUUAGAGAAGAUUAUGACGGUAUCUAACGAAUAAGCACCGGCUAACUCCGUGCCAGCAGCCGCGGUAAUACGGAGGGUGCAAGCGUUACUCGGAAUCACUGGGCGUAAAGAGUGCGUAGGCGGGGGAAUAAGUCAGAUGUGAAAUCCUGUAGCUUAACUACAGAACUGCAUUUGAAACUGUUACUCUGGAGUGUGGGAGAGGUAGGUGGAAUUCUUGGUGUAGGGGUAAAAUGCGUAGAUAUACGGAGGAACACCAGUGGCGAAGGCAGCAUACCGGCGCUCAACUGACGCUCAUGCACGAAAGUGUGGGUAUCGAACAGGAUUAGAUACCCUUGUAGUC